AUCUUUGCGCUUGAGGCAAUGACGCAGCUAGUGAGGUACUAACUGAGGCACGUCUAUUGCUGAUUGAAAACAAUCUUCAUAUGUUUUUUAAUCAAUUAAAUAACUAUAUUAAAUUAUAUUUAAU